CCUACGGGCGGCUGCAGUGGGGAAUAUUGGACAAUGGGCGCAAGCCUGAUCCAGCCAUGCCGCGUGAGUGAUGAAGGCCUUAGGGUUGUAAAGCUCUUUUAGCAGGGACGAUAAUGACGGUACCUGCAGAAAAAGCCCCGGCCAACUUCGUGCCAGCAGCCGCGGUAAUACGAAGGGGGCUAGCGUUGCUCGGAAUCACUGGGCGUAAAGCGCACGUAGGUGGGUCGUUAAGUCGGGGGUGAAAUCCCAGAGCUCAACUCUGGAACUGCCUUCGAUACUGGCGACCUUCGAGUUCGGGAGAGGUGAGUGGAACUGCGAGUGUAGAGGUGAAAUUCGUAGAUAUUCGCAAGAACACCAGUGGCGAAGGCGGCUCACUGGCCCGAUACUGACACUGAGGUGCGAAAGCGUGGGGAGCAAACAGGCUUAGAUACCCGAGUAGUC
rnacentral:rRNA from 1 species